GUGAAAUUUUUAAUAAAAUACAAAUUCUUUUAAAAAUCUAUAGGGGUUAAAAAGUUUAGAGAAAAAACCAGGAUUAGAUACCCUGUUAUUCUGAAUAAUAAAGUAAAUGGGGUAGUAAAAGUUGUUCUUCAAACCCAAAGAUUUUGGCGGCAUCCCAUCUUAAUAGAGGAGCUUGCCCUAUAAUUGAUAAUCCUCAUUUUAUCUUACCUUUUCUUGUUUAGCUUGUAUACCGCCGUUGUCAGAUUACUUUAAAAGAAUGUUUUCGAGAAAGAUAUCUUUUUCACUUCAGGUCAAGGUGCAGUUUAUGAUAAGGCAGAGGUGAGCUACAAUUUUUAUUAGGAAUCACGGAUUUCAAUACUGAAAGUUGAAUGAAGGUGGAUUUAUUAGUAAAUUUAUUUAAGUAUAAUAAAUUGAAUGAAGCAAUGGGAUGUGCACAUAUCGCCCGUCACUCUCUUCUUAAGAGGAGAUAA
rnacentral:rRNA from 1 species